rnacentral:rRNA from 1 species
CAAUAGCGUAUAUUAAAGUUGUUGCGGUUAAAAGCUCGUAGUUGGAUUUCUGUCGAGAAGUGGUGGUCCGCCUUUUGGGCGUGUAUCUACUUACGUCUUGGCAUCCUCUUGGGGAACGGUUCUGCGCUUCGCUGCGUGGAUCGGUAUUCAAGACUUUUACUUUGAGGAAAUUAGAGUGUUCACGGCAGGCAAUCGCCCUGAAUAUAUUAGCAUGGAAUAAUAAUAUAGGACCUUGGUUCUAUUUUGUUGGUUUCUAGGACUAAGGUAAUGAUUAAUAGGGAUAAUUGGGGGCAUUUGUAUUAACGCGUCAGAGGUGGAAUUCUUGGAUUGCGUUACGACAAACUACGGCGAAAGCAUUUGCCAAGGAUGUUUUCAUUGAUCAAGAACGAAAGUAAGGGGAUCGAAGAUGAUCAGAUACCAU